AACGAACGCUGGCGGCAUGCCUAACACAUGCAAGUCGAACGAGACCUUCGGGUCUAGUGGCGCACGGGUGCGUAACGCGUGGGAAUCUACCCUUGGGUUCGGAAUAACAGUUAGAAAUGACUGCUAAUACCGGAUGAUGACGUAAGUCCAAAGAUUUAUCGCCCAAGGAUGAGCCCGCGUAAGAUUAGCUUGUUGGUGGGGUAAUGGCCCACCAAGGCGACGAUCUUUAGCUGGUCUGAGAGGAUGAUCAGCCACACUGGGACUGAGACACGGCGCAGACUCCUACGGGAGGCAGCAGUGGGGAAUAUUGGACAAUGGGCGAAAGCCUGAUCCAGCAAUGCCGCGUGAGUGAUGAAGGCCUUAGGGUUGUAAAGCUCUUUUACCAGGGAUGAUAAUGACAGUACCUGGAGAAUAAGAGGUUGCUAACUCUGUGCCAGCCGCCGCCGUAA
rnacentral:rRNA from 1 species